rnacentral:lncRNA from 1 species
AAGGAAUGUUUUAGCCACCUGAUGAUUUUUGGAUGAGAAAUGUGCAUUAAAGGAAAGAUUAAAACGGCUCUAGAAACAGUGACGAUUUCGUUCUGUGCUCCAAGAGUAUUGCAUCCCAAGAAAGAUAAAGCUGGACCUGAAACUGGAAAACCUUUGGUCUCAUCUGAUGUGCAUGAAGGAGAGAGGGACAAUUAAGAACUACCGAACAACGCCACUUCUUGUACAUAAACUUUUGCCUGGGACAACAAGCCUUACUGAAGAUCCUCCUCCUGUAGAGAAAAGAUGGAAGCUGACCUCUGCAAGAACAAGAUUCAGACUGUACUUGUGAAGGAGAGUCCUGUUAGCUUCCGUUCCAAAAGAAAUGCCAAAGGACGAGAAUCUUCAUGUGAA